CGUAGGGUGCGAGCGUUGUCCGGAAUUAUUGGGCGUAAAGAGCUCGUAGGCGGUGUGUCGCGUCGGCCGUGAAAACCUGCAGCUUAACUGUGGGCUUGCGGUCGAUACGGGCAUCACUGGAGUUCGGCAGGGGAGACUGGAAUUCCUGGUGUAGCGGUGAAAUGCGCAGAUAUCAGGAGGAACACCGGUGGCGAAGGCGGGUCUCUGGGCCGAUACUGACGCUGAGGAGCGAAAGCGUGGGGAGCGAACAGGAUUAGAUACCCUGGUAGUCCACGCCGUAAACGUUGGGCGCUAGGUGUGGGGGCCAUUCCACUGUCUCUGUGCCGUAGCUAACGCAUUAAGCGCCCCGCCUGGGGAGUACGGCCGCAAGGCUA
rnacentral:rRNA from 1 species